UAGUAAUACCCAGGCAAAGAGAACUUUAGUCUGACCCCCCGAAACUAAGUGAGCUACUCCAAGGCAGCCUAUUAAUAGGGCACACCCGUCUCUGUGGCAAAAGAGUGGGAAGAACUUUGAGUAGGGGUGACAGACCUACCGAACCUAGUUAUAGCUGGUUGUCUGAGAAAUGAAUAGGAGUUCAGCCUCGCAGCUUCUUCACUCACCCCUGUCCUACUCCCUACAGACCUUUUAAGAAACCGCGAGAGUUAGUCAAAGGGGGUACAGCCCCUUUGAAAAAGAUACAACUUUCCCAGGUGGGUAAAGAUCAUAAUAACUUAAAGUAAAAUGCUUUGGUGG
rnacentral:rRNA from 1 species